GAUGAACGCUGGCGGCGUGCCUAAUACAUGCAAGUCGAGCGAACGGACGAGAAGCUUGCUUCUCUGAUGUUAGCGGCGGACGGGUGAGUAACACGUGGAUAACCUACCUAUAAGACUGGGAUAACUUCGGGAAACCGGAGCUAAUACCGGAUAAUAUUUUGAACCGCAUGGUUCAAAAGUGAAAGACGGUCUUGCUGUCACUUAUAGAUGGAUCCGCGCUGCAUUAGCUAGUUGGUAAGGUAACGGCUUACCAAGGCAACGAUGCAUAGCCGACCUGAGAGGGUGAUCGGCCACACUGGAACUGAGACACGGUCCAGACUCCUACGGGAGGCAGCAGUAGGGAAUCUUCCGCAAUGGGCGAAAGCCUGACGGAGCAACGCCGCGUGAGUGAUGAAGGUCUUCGGAUCGUAAAACUCUGUUAUUAGGGAAGAACAUAUGUGUAAGUAACUGUGCACAUCUUGACGGUACCUAAUCAGAAAGCCACGGCUAACUACGUGCCAGCAGCCGCGGUAAUACGUAGGUGGCAAGCGUUAUCCGGAAUUAUUGGGCGUAAAGCGCGCGUAGGCGGUUUUUUAAGUCUGAUGUGAAAGCCCACGGCUCAACCGUGGAGGGUCAUUGGAAACUGGAAAACUUGAGUGCAGAAGAGGAAAGUGGAAUCCCAUGUGUAGCGGUGAAAUGCGCAGAGAUAUGGAGGAACACCAGUGGCGAAGGCGACUUUCUGGUCCGUAACUGACGCUGAUGUGCGAAAGCGUGGGGAUCAAACUGGAUUAGAUACCCUGGUAGUCCACGCCGUAAACGAUGAGUGCUAAGUGUUAGGGGGUUUCCGCCCCUUAGUGCUGCAGCUAACGCAUUAAGCACUCCGCCUGGGGAGUACGACCGCAAGGUUGAAACUCAAAGGAAUUGACGGGGACCCGCACAAGCGGUGGAGCAUGUGGUUUAAUUCGAAGCAACGCGAAGAACCUUACCAAAUCUUGACAUCCUUUGACAACUCUAGAGAUAGAGCCUUCCCCUUCGGGGGACAAAGUGACAGGUGGUGCAUGGUUGUCGUCAGCUCGUGUCGUGAGAUGUUGGGUUAAGUCCCGCAACGAGCGCAACCCUUAAGCUUAGUUGCCAUCAUUAAGUUGGGCACUCUAAGUUGACUGCCGGUGACAAACCGGAGGAAGGUGGGGAUGACGUCAAAUCAUCAUGCCCCUUAUGAUUUGGGCUACACACGUGCUACAAUGGACAAUACAAAGGGCAGCGAAACCGCGAGGUCAAGCAAAUCCCAUAAAGUUGUUCUCAGUUCGGAUUGUAGUCUGCAACUCGACUACAUGAAGCUGGAAUCGCUAGUAAUCGUAGAUCAGCAUGCUACGGUGAAUACGUUCCCGGGUCU
rnacentral:rRNA from 1 species